rnacentral:tRNA from 1 species
GCCGGCGUAGCUCAGCCUGGUAGAGCGACUGUCUCGUAAGCAGUAGGUCGAGGGCUCGAACAUCCCUCCGCCGGCU